rnacentral:rRNA from 1 species
UACGUAGGAGACGAGCGUUGUCCGGAGUUACUGGGCGUAAAGGGUGCGCAGGUGGCGGCGCGCGUGGGGGGUGAAAUCGCCCGGCUUAACUGGGCGGGGGCCUUCCAGACGGCGUGGCUUGAGCAGCGGAGGGGGACGUGGAAUUCCGGGUGGAGCGGUGAAAUGCGUAGAGAUCCGGAGGAACACCGGUGGCGAAGGCGGGUCUCUGGACAGUUCCUGACGCUGAGGCACGAAGGUCAGGGGAGCAAACGGG